rnacentral:rRNA from 1 species
CGCCUUCAGAUAUAUAAAUUGAAGGUCCAUUCUGCCCUAUGCCGAAAGGUAAAUGGCCGCGGUAACCUGACCGUGCUAAGGUAGCAUAAUAAUUUGCCAUUUAAUUGAUGGCUGGCAUGAACGAAUAUACGAGAGCAUCACUGUCUCUUAUUUAUAAACUAAAAAUUGACUUUCAAGUGAAGAGACUUGAAUUACCCAAAAAGACGAAAAGACCCUAUAGAGCUUUAUCUUAAAUUACUCUUUAAGUAACGAAGAUUUAGUUGGGGCAACUAGAGAGUUCUAAAACCUCUCUUUUUUAUUACACUCAAGAUCCAAUUUUUUGAUUAGUGGAAGAAGCUACCUUAGGGAUAACAGGCUAAUCCUGUUUGAGAGACCAUAUUGACAACAGGGCUUGGCACCUCGAUGUUGGCUCAAGGCUACAAUCUGAUGCAGCAGUCAGAUAAAGUAGGUUUGUUCACCCUUUAAUUCCUU